rnacentral:rRNA from 1 species
GAUGAACGCUAGCUACAGGCUUAACACAUGCAAGUCGAGGGGUAACGAGAGGAAAGCUUGCUUUCCUUGUCGACGACCGGCGCACGGGUGAGUAACGCGUAUCCAACCUGCCCCCAACUAGGGAAUAACCUUGCGAAAGUAAGACUAAUACCCUAUAAUUUCCUCAGAUGUCAUCUGACGAUGAAUAAAGAUUUAUCGGUUGCGGAUGGGGAUGAGUCUGAUUAGCUUGUUGGCGGGGUAAAGGCCCACCAAGGCAACGAGCAGUAGGGGUUCUGAGAGGAAGGUCCCCCACAUUGGAACUGAGACACGGUCCAAAUGCCUACGGGAGGCCGCAGUGAGGAAUAUUGGUCAAUGGGCGGAAGCCUGAACCAGCCAAGUAGCGUGCAGGAUGACGGCCCUAUGGGUUGUAAACUGCUUUUAUACAGGAAUAAAGUUAGCCACGUGUGGUUAUUUGUAGGUACUGUAUGAAUAAGGACCGGCUAAUUCCGUGCCAGCCGCCGCGGUAA